UUCCUACGGGGGGCUGCAGUGGGGAAUAUUGGACAAUGGGCGCAAGCCUGAUCCAGCCAUGCCGCGUGAGUGAUGAAGGCCUUAGGGUUGUAAAGCUCUUUUACCAGGGAAGAUAAUGACGGUACCUGGAGAAUAAGCCCCGGCUAACUUCGUGCCAGCAGCCGCGGUAAUACGAAGGGGGCUAGCGUUGCUCGGAAUCACUGGGCGUAAAGCGCACGUAGGUGGGUCGUUAAGUCGGGGGUGAAAUCCUGGAGCUCAACUCCAGAACUGCCUUCGAUACUGGCGAUCUUGGAUUCCGGGAGAGGGGAGUGGAACUGCGAGUGUAGAGGUGAAAUUCGUAGAUAUUCGCAAGAACACCAGUGGCGAAGGCGGCUCACUGGCCCGGUACUGACACUGAGGUGCGAAAGCGUGGGGAGCAAACAGGAUUAGAUACCCGAGUAGUCU
rnacentral:rRNA from 2 species